AUCGUCGUAGCUCAACAGGUCAGAGCACCGCCCUGAUAAGGCGGAGGCCGCAGGUUCGACCCCUGCCGGCGACACC
rnacentral:tRNA from 1 species